UACGGAGGGGGCAAGCGUUGUUCGGAAUCACUGGGCGUAAAGCGCGUGUAGGCGGCCUCUUAAGUCUGGUGUGAAAGCCCGGGGCUUACCCCCGGAAGGGCACUGGAUACCGGGAGGCUAGAGUACCGGAGAGGAGGGUGGAAUUCCUGGUGUAGCGGUGAAAUGCGUAGAUAUCAGGGGGAACACCGGUGGCGAAGGCGGCCCUCUGGACGGCUACUGACGCUGAGACGCGAAAGCGUCGGGAGCAAACAGG
rnacentral:rRNA from 1 species